rnacentral:rRNA from 1 species
UACGUAGGUGGCAAGCGUUAUCCGGAAUUACUGGGCGUAAAGCGCACGCAGGCGGUCUUUUAAGUUUGACGUGAAAGCUCCCGGCUUAACUGGGAGAGGUCGUUGAAGACUGGAAGACUUGAGGCAAUGAGAGGGGUGUAGAAUUCCCGGUGUAGUGGUGGAAUGCGUAGAGAUCGGGAGGAACACCAGUGGCGAAGGCGGCGACCUGGACCUGUGCUGACGCUGAGGCGCGAAAGCGUGGGGAGCGAUCCGG